rnacentral:rRNA from 1 species
AUUGAACGCUGGCGGCAGGCCUAACACAUGCAAGUCGAGCGGAUGAAGGGAGCUUGCUCCUGGAUUCAGCGGCGGACGGGUGAGUAAUGCCUAGGAAUCUGCCUGGUAGUGGGGGAUAACGUCUGGAAACGGGCGCUAAUACCGCAUACGUCCUGAGGGAGAAAGUGGGGGAUCUUCGAACCUCACGCUAUCAGAUGAGCCUAGGUCGGAUUAGCUAGUUGGUGGGGUAAAGGCCUACCAAGGCGACGAUCCGUAACUGGUCUGAGAGGAUGAUCAGUCACACUGGAACUGAGACACGGUCCAGACUCCUACGGGAGGCAGCAGUGGGGAAUAUUGGACAAUGGGCGAAAGCCUGAUCCAGCCAUGCCGCGUGUGUGAAGAAGGUCUUCGGAUUGUAAAGCACUUUAAGUUGGGAGGAAGGGCAGUAAGUUAAUACCUUGCUGUUUUGACGUUACCAACAGAAUAAGCACCGGCUAACUUCGUG